AGGAACGGCUGACGGCGUGCUAAUACAUGCAAGUCGAGCGAAUGGAUUAAGAGACGUGUGCGUCUUAUGAAGUUAGCGGCGGACGGGUGAGUAACACGUGGGUAACCUGCCCAUAAGACUGGGAUAACUCCGGGAAACCGGGGCUAAUACCGGAUAACAUUUUGAACCGCAUGGUUCGAAAUUGAAAGGCGGCUUCGGCUGUCACUUAUGGAUGGACCCGCGUCGCAUUAGCUAGUUGGUGAGGUAACGGCUCACCAAGGCAACGAUGCGUAGCCGACCUGAGAGGGUGAUCGGCCACACUGGGACUGAGACACGGCCCAGACUCCUACGGGAGGCAGCAGUAGGGAAUCUUCCGCAAUGGACGAAAGUCUGACGGAGCAACGCCGCGUGAGUGAUGAAGGCUUUCGGGUCGUAAAACUCAGUUGUUAGGGAAGAACAAGUGCUAGUUGAAUAAGCUGGCACCUCGACGGUACCUAACCAGAAAGCCACGGCUAACUACGUGCCAGCAGCCGCGGUAAUACGUAGGUGGCAAGCGUUAUCCGGAAUUAUUGAGCGUAAAGCGCGCGCAGGUGGUUUCUUAAGUCUGAUGUGAAAGCCCACGGCUCAACCGUGGAGGGUCAUUGGAAACUGGGAGACUUGAGUGCAGAAGAGGAAACUGGAAAUUCCAUGUGUAGCGGUGAAAUGCGUAGAGAUAAUGGAGGAACACCAGUGGCGAAAGGCGACUUUCUGGUCCUGUAACCUGACACUGGAGGCGGCGAAAAGCGGUGGGGAGCAAAACAAGGAUUAGGAUACCCUUGGUAGUUCCACGCCGUAAACGAUGAGUGCUAAGUGGUAGGAGGGUUUUCCCGCCCUUUAGUUGCGGAAGUUAACGCAUUAAACCACUCCGCCCGGGGAAGUACGGCCGCCAAGGCCUGAAACUUCAAAGGAAUUGACGGGGGCCCGCCACCAAGGCGGUGGAGCAUGUGUGGUUUAAUCCGAAGCCACCGGCGAAAAACCUACACGGUCUUUGACAUCCUCUGGAAAACCUAAAGAAUAGGCUUCUCCCUUCGGAGGCGAAUGACCAGGUGGUGCCAUGAUGCUGGUCACCUCUGUUCCUGAAAUAGGUUGGCUUAAUUCCCCCACGAACGCCAACCCUGAUUUUUGGUUGCCUCCUUUAAUUUGGCCCUUUUAGGGUGCCGCCGGGGGCCAAACGGAGGGAGGGGGGGAAGGCGGCCAAUCCUCCAUCCCCUUAAUGCCUUGGCCUCCCCCCUUCUUCCAAGGGCGGGUCCAAAAAGUUCCAGGCCCCGAGGGGGAACUUAUUUUCAUAAAACCUUUUCCAUUUGGGUUGGUGGCUUCCACUUCCCUACCAGGAACCGGGAUUCGUUGGUAUUCCGGGUCCACCAUCCCCCGGGGAAUCGUUUCCCGGCCUUGGUCCCCCCCCCCCGCCCCCCCCGGAGAUUUGGUACCCCCGGAGUCCGUUAGGGUACCUUUUUGGAGCCAGCCGCCUAAGGUGGACAGAUGAUGGGU
rnacentral:rRNA from 1 species